ACCUUUUCUGGGGGAAGAUAAUGACGGUACCCCAGGAAUAAGGGACGGCUAACUACGUGCCAGCAGCCGCGGUAAUACGUAAAUCCCGAACGUUGCGCGAAAUUACUGGGCGUAAAGGGUCCGUAGGCGUGGAAGGUGAAUCCUACGGCUCAACCGUAGAAUUGCCUUCCAAACUGCUGGACUUGAGGC
rnacentral:rRNA from 1 species